rnacentral:misc_RNA from 1 species
UUUCCGUAGGUGAACCUGCGGAAGGAUCAUUACUGAGUGAGGGUCUCCGGGCCCGACCUCCAACCCUUUUGUGAACCAAACUUGUUGCUUCGGGGGCGACCCUGCCGCUUCGGCGGUGCGGCGCCCCCGGAGGCCUUCAAACACUGCAUCUUUGCGUCGGAGUUUAAGUAAAUUAAACAAAACUUUCAACAACGGAUCUCUUGGUUCCAGCAUCGAUGAAGAACGCAGC